rnacentral:rRNA from 1 species
UACGUAGGGCGCGAGCGUUGUCCGGAAUUAUUGGGCGUAAAGAGCUCGUAGGCGGCCUGUUGCGUCCGCUGUGAAAUCCCCGAGCUCAACUUGGGAAUUGCAGUGGAUACUGGCAAGCUGGAGUAUGGUAGAGGAAGGUGGAAUUCCCGGUGUAGCAGUGAAAUGCGUAGAGAUCGGGAGGAACACCAGUGGCGAAGGCGGCCUUCUGGACCAAUACUGACGCUCAUGCACGAAAGCGUGGGGAGCAAACAGG